GCGCCGGUGGUGUAAUGGCGUAGUGCAUUCCCGCCCGGUCAGAGGGAGGUGCGGGUUCGAGUCCCGCCUGGCGCU
rfam:Heligmosomoides polygyrus genome assembly, scaffold: HPBE_scaffold0006547